ensembl:lncRNA
ACAGGAGCAUGAGCCAAUUCAAUAAUAAUUUGGGACAGGGUGUCGUUUGCUCGUUUCAAUUUUAAUUUAACAUUUAUGAAGCCAGCAAAAAAUAAAUACUGACACUCGAUAUUCUCUUCUGAAAACUCCGGGUACUGGGUCAGGAGUAGAAAAGAAAGUCUCUGAAUUUACACGUGCAAAAAGAAGUCUAAAUCCUGAUGCAUCAGAUUUGAGGUCAGGAAUCCACCAGACAAUUCUCUACUUUUCACCCUAUGGUCAGACCAGGCAGACCCGAGACGCUACAAAAACUCACAGAGAAAUUCUGUACCCAAAGUCCCACCGGCCCUGUGCUGAUGUGAUUUACUACAAACGGCUCGGCUCAUCCCGCUGAGCCUUCUCAAGGACUCUUCCGAGAGCAUCGGGCUUCACCUUGAGUCUCCAAAGGGCGGGGGCUGGGUCGAAAAGAAACAGAGCUGCACUCAACUUCGCUUUAAAAAGAGGAGGAGUUGUGCAGAGGGGGAGGGGAGAAAUGCGGCCGGCGCCUCCAGCCUCUGCCCAGGAAAACGCAGGGCAGGAAACGUCCCCGGGCCCCCCUGCCCAACUGUCAAACCCCGGCCCUGCCGCGGUCCUCCCAGGACACGUGUCUACUGGAUCGCUCCCUGUCCGGCCCAAGGACUUCCUGAAACCCCCGCCUCCGGCUGCCCGAAAAAGCUGUGAGUCAGUGAGGAGGAGAGAAAGUCCCGCGAACCCGACUCCGGCUGCUGCAACCAGAGCACUGGGAUCCCGGACCCAGCGUCCAGAACUUCAUUCAGGCGCCCAGACCGCCCUCCGGAAAGAGGAAACCCAGAUGGCCCGGCGAGGAUGCGAAUUGGCUGCACUUUGUCACCAGGAAUUGUUCCGAAUGCCGCAAAGUGAAGUCCUAGCUGAAGUCCUAACCUCUACCAGAGCGGCUGCUAUCAACCAAAGUGACAGGAGAACCAUCACGAGUCGAGUUCACUUUUCAACUGCUGGGCAAAGCAAAUGCCCAGAGCAAACCCACCCCCCCUCAAAAUAAGUUUCUUGAAAAAAGAAAAAGAAAAAUGAACCAAAAAAUGCAGAAUUAAAACAAAAACAAACAAGCAGAAGAAAACUGAUCUUCCGUGCUUUGCUUCAAUGAAAAUGAAAUCUGAGCUCUGAGACUGGCCCCCUCCGCUCUGCAGUUCUUCCCACUUCACCUUCUCACCCCGUCCUCCCAAACAGAGCGUGCAGGAGCGAGAAGGUGCUGCGAGCCGGGCAUGGGCUGCGCCGGGAGAGGGGGAAGGGACGAGGGGCUUCCAACUAUCUCCGCCCGAAGCGGCUUUUUCUAGGCUUUUCGAGCACCAUGGGUCCCUAAGGUUAGCGCUGAGAAUGCUUGGGUCCCCAGGAGCACAGCAGGGGGAAGUAUUAGCGAGAGAGACGAGCGAGCGGGAGCGGGAGAAAGAAGCAGGGAGAGGGCGAUUCCGCCGCUCGCACAGAGGUGGGGGCGGGAGGAGCCGGAGGGGAGGAGGAGGAGGCAGGCAGAGGAGGUGGGAGGAGUGGGCCGCUCGCCGGCUCCUGUUGCUCGCGAAGCGGCCGUACGCUCGCUGCCGGCGACCCGUGGGGCGUUAAUAAGGCGGCCGGAGCCCCCCGGGCGGCCCCUCCCGC